rnacentral:sRNA from 1 species
CUGGACAUUGGCGUAGAGCAUGUGAGUGACUGUGAGCGCCUGGCCAAGCAAUGCCAGCUGUGGGACCUGCUCAGCGACCUGGAGGCCAAGUGCGAGAAGGUGUCUGAGUUUGUGGCGUCUAAGCCAGGCACGUGUGUGAAGGUGCUGACCAUCGAGCCCCCACCUGCAGACCCCCGCCUCCGGGAGGACAUGGCGCUGCUGGCCGAUUGUGCCCUGCCCCCCGAGCUCCGAGGUGAUCUUUGGGAGCUGCCCUUCCCUUGUCCUGACGGCUUCAACAGCUGCCCUGACAUCUGCUUCCGAGUGGCUGGCUGCAGCUUCCUCUGCCACAAGGUGCCUGUGCCCUCCUGUUGCCCCUGGCCCCAGCCCGUUGCCCUGAGCCCCCGUCUAGCUCCUCAGGAGACAGACCCUGGCCCUCACACUUCCUGAGCCCGGCCUCCCCCAGGCCUUUUUCUGUGGCCGCAGUGACUACUUCCGAGCCCUGCUGGAUGACCACUUCCGAGAGAGCGAGGAGCCAGCGACCUCAGGGGGCCCCCCAGCCGUCACCCUGCAUGGCAUCUCACCCGACGUCUUCACUCACGUGCUCUACUACAUGUACAGCGACCACACUGAGCUGUCCCCCGAGGCAGCCUAUGAUGUGCUGAGCGUCGCCGACAUGUACCUGCUGCCAGGCCUGAAGAGGCUGU